UCCGUAGAUGAAGACUGCAAGGUGUUAGC
rnacentral:piRNA from 1 species